UUCUGUUUUUCUCUGUGGAAAACCAUCUCAACCCAAAAUGGAAGACAGACCACAGUGAAAAGAGAAAGAAGAGCUAAAAGACGAGUAAAGAACAUAGAAAAAGGCUACAUGUCCAGUGGCAGGUGGCUGUUGGGAUCUGCUUAUCACAGGCAACCACACUGAGAACAAGGGAGGUUUUCUCUUGCAAUGUAUCUCCACCGUCAUUGUGGCCAUUGGGCAAGAAUGUGGCAAGUCACACUCCCUGGAAGUGACCCACAUCACUACGGCUCUCUGUUGGACAAAGCAAGUGCCAAGCUUUGCCUGACUUCAGAGAAGAGCAGGAGGUAUAUCCCUCAGGUGCCUGAAGGCAGAGGCUGCCGUAACUUGAUUAUCUUGUGGGUGAAAGGAGGAAAUGGCUUUGGGCACCAGAAGUGGUCCUAAAUUUCUCCAUACAUACAUGCAGCUAUCCAGGUGGAGGGGGCCUGCUGCUCUGCGGCGAACUUGAGGAUGGGUCCAGGUUAAUUGAGACAUCAGGCUUCUAGGUCUUACUCGAGUGUAGUUAUUCAUAAGAUAAAGUGGAGCACUGCCAAGUCACUGAGAUUUCAGGAUGGCUGAACAAACUGGAGAGAGAAAGAAGCUGCUGAAUUAACACUAUAAUAAGCGCCCACUCCAUGCCUACCCCUGUGCUGGGUAUUGGAAAUAGGGGGAUGAACAGGGCAACGUUCCUUCCUAGUUGGGGGAGACAGGCAAUAGCCAAGUAUGCAUCGUGGCAAAGGGUAUGGACUAAAUCAACAGGGUGAGGAAACAGAGACUGUGUUGGGGACAAAUGCCACUUCUCAUAUGGUGACAGGAAAGACUCCUCCAAGAAGGCAAAGGCUGAGGUGAGAUGUGGAGCAUGGGGAGGAACCAGCUACAUGAGGAUCUGGGAUGAACACUCAAACCAGAGGGAAACAAAUGUAAAGACUCAAGGGAGGAGUGUGCUCCUCCCACCCAAUAGGCUGCA